UGAGUAACCUGCCCUUAACUCUGGGAUAAGCCUGGGAAACUGGGUCUAAUACCGGAUAUGACUCCUCAUCGCAUGGUGGGGGGUGGAAAGCUUUUUGUGGUUUUGGAUGGACUCGCGGCCUAUCAGCUUGUUGGUGAGGUAAUGGCUCACCAAGGCGACGACGGGUAGCCGGCCUGAGAGGGUGACCGGCCACGCUGGGACUGAGACACGGCCCAGACUCCUACGGGAANCAG
rnacentral:rRNA from 1 species